UACGUAGGGGGCGAGCGUUAUCCGGAUUCACUGGGUGUAAAGGGAGCGUAGACGGCCAAGCAAGCCAGGGGUGAAAGCCCGGGGCCCAACCCCGGGACUGCCCUUGGAACUGCAUAGCUGGAGUGCGGGAGGGGCAGGCGGAAUUCCUGGUGUAGCGGUGAAAUGCGUAGAUAUCAGGAGGAACACCGGCGGCGAAGGCGGCCUGCUGGACUGCGACUGACGUUGAGGCUCGAAAGCGUGGGGAGCGAACAGG
rnacentral:rRNA from 1 species